CCUACGGGAGGCAGCAGUAAGGAAUAUUGGUCAAUGGACGCAAGUCUGAACCAGCCAUGCCGCGUGCAGGAUGACGGCCCUCUGGGUUGUAAACUGCUUUUAUAGGGGACGAAAAAAGGGCUUUCUAGCUCGUCUGACGGUACCCUAGGAAUAAGCACCGGCUAACUCCGUGCCAGCAGCCGCGGUAAUACGGAGGGUGCAAGCGUUAUCCGGAUUUACUGGGUUUAAAGGGUGCGUAGGUGGGUCGGUAAGUCAGCGGUGAAAUCUUCGAGCUUAACUCGGAAACUGCCAUUGAUACUAUCGAUCUUGAAUCAUCUGGAGGUAAGCGGAAUAUGUCAUGUAGCGGUGAAAUGCUUAGAUAUGACAUAGAACACCAAUUGCGAAGGCAGCUUACUACGGAUGCAUUGACACUGAGGCACGAAAGCGUGGGGAUCAAACAGGAUUAGAUACCCUGGUAGUCCACGCCCUAAACGAUGGAUACUCGACAUUUGAGAUAUACUUUAAGUGUCUGAGCGAAAGCAUUAAGUAUCCCACCUGGAAGUACGAUCGCAAGAUUGAAACUCAAAGUAGUAGUAGACGUGAGAGUUAGCGACGAGGACACACGGGAGGGUUAGAGG
rnacentral:rRNA from 1 species